GGGGGAGGACAACAUCAGGUAGAGGAUCAAGGGGAGGCAGGGCACCUUCAGGAAGAGGAAGGGGAAGAGACCAAGUUCCAAUUGGUGUUGGGGUGUAUUUUGCACCAGAUGGUUCAGCACACACCAAUCAAGGUGGCAGUUCUAGGCAUGUCAAUGACCAAGCAAGCCAAUCAAGCCAAGUCUCUACACUGCACCAAGCAACUCAAUAGCAACUUCAACAAAAAAAAAAUUUGGUUUCCAGUAGAACUGUUUAUGUAUGUCAUUAGACAGUAGCAAAAUAGUGGUGUUUAUGCAUUUUCAGUUUACGUAUCCACUAAGUCGUAUUUUGGAUUUUGUCAACAUUGUCCCAUAUAACAUUGUCCCGUAUAUUAUGCCUUGUUUUGAAUUGUAUUGAUGAUAAU